rnacentral:rRNA from 1 species
GACGAACGCUGGCGGCGUGCUUAACACAUGCAAGUCGUACGGUAAGGCCCUUUCGGGGGUACACGAGUGGCGAACGGGUGAGUAACACGUGAGUAACCUGCCCACAACUUUGGGAUAACGCUAGGAAACUGGUGCUAAUACUGGAUAUGUGCUCCUGCUGCAUGGUGGGGGUUGGAAAGCUCCGGCGGUUGUGGAUGGACUCGCGGCCUAUCAGCUUGUUGGUGGGGUAGUGGCCUACCAAGGCGGCGACGGGUAGCCGGCCUGAGAGGGUGACCGGCCACAUUGGGACUGAGAUACGGCCCAGGCUCCGACGGGAGGCAGCAGUGGGGAAUAUUGCACAAUGGGCGCAAGCCGGGUGCAGCAACGCCGCGUGCGGGAUGACGGCCUUCGGGUUGUAAACCGCUUUCAGCAGGGACGAAGCUUUUUGUGACGGUACCCGCAGAAGAAGCACCGGCUAACUACGUG